rnacentral:rRNA from 1 species
CCGGCACGGGUGAGUAACACGUAUGCAAUCCACCUGUAACAGGGGGAUAACCCGGAGAAAUCCGGACUAAUACCCCAUAAUAUGGGCGCUCCGCAUGGAGAGCCCAUUAAAGAGAGCAAUUUUGGUUACAGACGAGCAUGCGCUCCAUUAGCCAGUUGGCGGGGUAACGGCCCACCAAAGCGACGAUGGAUAGGGGUUCUGAGAGGAAGGUCCCCCACAUUGGAACUGAGACACGGUCCA